GUGGGGAAUAUUGCACAAUGGGGGAAACCCUGAUGCAGCGACGCCGCGUGAGUGAAGAAGUAUUUCGGUACGUAAAGCUCUAUCAGCAAGGAAGAAAAUGACGGUACUUGACUAAGAAGCCCCGGCUAACUACGUGCCAGCAGCCGCGGUAAUACGUAGGGGGCAAGCGUUAUCCGGAUUUACUGGGUGUAAAGGGAGCGUAGACGGUAUGGUAAGUCAGAUGUGAAAGCCCGAGGCUCAACCCCGGGACUGCAUUUGAAACUAUCAGACUAGAGUGCAGGAGAGGUAAGUGGAAUUCCUAGUGUAGCGGUGAAAUGCGUAGAUAUUAGGAGGAACACCAGUGGCGAAGGCGGCUUACUGGACUGUAACUGACGUUGAGGCUCGAAAGCGUGGGGAGCAAACAGGAUUAGAAACCCGGGUAGUCC
rnacentral:rRNA from 1 species